UAGAAAAAGAUAAAGUACUAAAGUACUUUUUAGUUACAUUAAAAAAGUCUCCGCAGUUUAUGGAGUAUCUUUAAAA
rnacentral:tRNA from 1 species